ACGAGAAAACAAAAAGAACAACAACAAAAACAUGAGAAAAAGGAAGAAGAAAUCUUCUUUUUUUUUUUCUUCUUUUUUUCUUCUUCUUUUUUUCUUUUCUUUU
rnacentral:ribozyme from 12 species